rnacentral:rRNA from 1 species
UACAGAGGUCUCAAGCGUUGUUCGGAUUCAUUGGGCGUAAAGCGCACGUAGGCGGAUCUUUAAGUCAGGGGUGAAAUCCCGAGGCUCAACCUCGGAACUGCCUUUGAUACUGGGGAUCUCGAGUCCGGGAGAGGUGAGUGGAACUGCGAGUGUAGAGGUGAAAUUCGUAGAUAUUCGCAAGAACACCAGUGGCGAAGGCGGACUCACUGGCCCGGAACUGACGCUGAGGUGCGAAAGCGUGGGGAGCAAACAGG